GGAAAAGGCAGCCAUUCAUCAUGACCAGAAUUGACACAUACCCAGGGGACUAGUCAGUUCUCUAGAGAAACAGAACCAAUAGGACAAAAAUGAGAUCUUGCUGUGUUGCCCAGGCUGGUCUCAAAAUCCUGGCCUCAAGCAAUCCUCUCACUUCGGACUCCCAAAGCAUUAGAAUUCCAGGGUGAGCCACCACACCCAGCCCAAGGGUUCACUCCUAUGAAGAUUUUCUCCUGCCUCUGCCCUCUCUGAGACAGCAAGACCAAUCCCACCUCUUCCUCCUCCUCCUCAGCCUACCCAACAUGAAGAUGAAAAUGAAGAUCCUGAUGACCACUUCCACUUAACGAAUAGUAUAGAGAAAAAGAGACACCCACCAACUCAACAGCUGCCUUCCCAGUGUCUGAUGAUGUGUUGAUUUGCUCCAGCAACGGAACCACAUCUGGAACAGCAGCUGCAAAUUAG
rnacentral:lncRNA from 1 species